rnacentral:tRNA from 1 species
AGGAGUGUAGCUCUGUGGUAGAGUAUGUGCUUAGCAUGUACAAAGCUCUAGGUUCAAUUCCCAGCACAAUUA